CAAAUUAAGAACAGAUUAAUUCACAAUUAGAAAUGAUAAAGGGAUUAGGGUUAUGUACGUGAAUUGUAGCCAUUCAGACUCGUUCUUUUUCCCUCUCUCACUCAAACGCGGCGUCGCUGCAAGCUUUUCCGGUGAGCUUGCGCUCUCUCCGCCUCAGUUCAUUAAUCUCUCGCUCUCCUCUGAUUAGAGAACACAGCGGUCCUCCCUCUCAUUUCGUGACCGCGUCGUCCUCUUCCCUCUCCGAUCAACUCUUCAGAAUGCUGUGGUGGACACGCACAUCUCCGACGCCUCUCAUCUCUCUCGUCUCUCAGAUUUCACUCUCAGCCUUCUCCCGUUCCGAUUCGUGAAAUCUUGUCACGAUUGCAAUUUGCGGAGAACUUCGACGAUUCUUCGAUAGUCAGAUGCGAGAAAGCAUAAAGGAGUGAGAUUUCGUUGUGGAGGUCGAUGUGUUGUUAUUUACGGUGAUGAAAAUAAUGGAUUCGGUAAAGAAGAAUGAUGAAGAGGAGUGGUGAAGUCGUCUUUCUUCGCGAUGCGUAUGAAGAUGAAUGAAUUGCAAGGAAAUAUAUGAGAUUGAAGAUUUGUAAAUUGCAGUGGAGUUGUAUGGAUGAUUGCAGAUGAAGAUUGAGCGAUGGAGUUUGAUUCUGAGAAUUCCAAUGUGAUUAGGGAAGAUUGAAGAUGGUUUGAAGAUUGAAGAGAGAGCGUGAUUGAUGAUUGAAGAGGUUGAGGGAGCGGUUAUGGUGAAGGGCGGUGAAGAGGAUGAAGGUGAGAAUCGAAGGAUAGAAAGUUUGUUACGUUUCUUUCUCGAUAAUCUCCUGUGAAUUUUCUGAAUAAUUGAAGAUGAUUGGAAUCCAGAGAGAGUUUUCCGGAUCAAGAGUUUGUUACCUUUUUUUUCUCGAUUUUCUUCUUCUAUAUUCGUGAAGUGAUGAACCGGUUUUCUUUCUUUCUUUGUGCCGCCCAUUUAUUUUUUGUAUUGACGGAAUUUUAUUGAACCGGUUUCUUGUUGCAGCGAGUUUUGCUUGGCUUUUGUUAUGGAGUAGAGCUUGUUUCAACUUCAUGAAGGCAUUGGUUUUGGAAAGCAUGAAUGGAAAAAUGGAAAUAGGCUUAGGGAAUUUAGUUUUAAGAUAGGCUUUUUCUUUCGUAUUUGAGUUCACGUUGUAAUGGACAUGUAGUGUGAUUGUAAUAGUUUGGACUCUUCUUGAAUUUGAAUGGUGAUGGACCUUGCAAGCAAUUUGAACGACUUUAUCAACGAAUGCCUCCUUUGAAUGUUGAACAUAGUCGAAACUUGAAUAAUGAUGAACAAAUCUUGAACUCACUUUUGAAUGUAAUUUGGAUAACAUAACUUUUAAAUUUCUUUUCCCACCAAAUGCAUUUCAAUUUGAAUUUUUAAGUUCCAUGUUCAAAUUGUACCAACACUCGUAAUACAAACCGACCAAUGAACGAAUGCUUCUGAAAUCUUGAUAACAAUGAAAUAUGACUGGAACACAUAAUUUGGACUUUGAACCAUGAUGAACGCCUAAAGCUUGUGCAACAUCUCCAGAAUCAUGACUUGUAUCACACUCACUUAAUUAAACCGAACUGCCUUGCUA